rnacentral:rRNA from 1 species
GACGAACGCUGGCGGCGUGCUUAACACAUGCAAGUCGAACGGAAAGGCCCUGCUUGCAGGGUACUCGAGUGGCGAACGGGUGAGUAACACGUGGGUGAUCUGCCCUGCACUUCGGGAUAAGCUUGGGAAACUGGGUCUAAUACCGGAUAGGAGCCAUCUUUAGUGUGGUGGUUGGAAAGUUUUUUCGGUGUAGGAUGAGCUCGCGGCCUAUCAGCUUGUUGGUGGGGUAAUGGCCUACCAAGGCGGCGACGGGUAGCCGGCCUGAGAGGGUGUACGGCCACAUUGGGACUGAGAUACGGCCCAGACUCCUACGGGAGGCAGCAAUGGGGAAUAUUGCACAAUGGGGGCAAGCCGGAUGCAGCGACGCCGCGUGGGGGAUGAAGGCCUUCGGGUUGUAAACUCCUUUCGCUAGGGACGAAGCUUUUUUGUGACGGUACCUAGAUAAGAAGCACCGGCUAACUACGUG